rnacentral:rRNA from 1 species
AGUGGGGGAUAUUGCACAAUGGGGGAAACCCUGAUGCAGCGAUGCCGCGUGAGGGAAGAAGGUUUUCGGAGUUGUAAACCUCUGUCUGCCGGGACGAUAAUGACGGUACCCGUCAAGGAAGCCACGGCUAACUACGUGCC